CUCCUGAUAGCUCAGUUGGUAGAGCGAUGGACUGUAAUUGCAAAAACUCUUUAGAGAUCCACAGGUCGCGUGUUCGACUCACGCUCGGGAGA